AACUCCUACGGGGGGCAGCAGUGGGGAAUAUUGCACAAUGGGGGAAACCCUGAUGCAGCGACGCCGCGUGAGUGAAGAAGUAUUUCGGUAUGUAAAGCUCUGUCAGCAGGGAAGAAAAUGACGGUACCUGACCAAGAAGCCCCGGCUAACUACGUGCCAGCAGCCGCGGUAAUACGUAGGGGGCAAGCGUUAUCCGGAAUUACUGGGUGUAAAGGGUGUGUAGGCGGGGCUGCAAGUCAGAUGUGAAGAUUAUGGGCUCAACCCAUAACCUGCGU
rnacentral:rRNA from 1 species